rnacentral:ncRNA from 1 species
GGAACUUGUACUCGUUGCGGUGCAACGAUGACUAAAGA